GACGAACGCUGGCGGCGUGCUUAACACAUGCAAGUCGAACGGAAAGGCCCUGCUUUUGUGGGGUGCUCGAGUGGAGACCGGGUGAGUAACACGUGAGUAACCUGCCCUUGACUUUGGGAUAACUUCAGGCGACUGGGGCUCAUACCGGAUAGGAGCUCCUGCUGCAUGGUGGGGGUUGGAAAGUUUCGGCGGUUGGGGAUGGAAUCGCGGCUUAUCAGCUUGUUGGUGGGGUAGUGGCUUACCAAGGCUUUGAAGGGUAGCCGGCCUGGGCGGAUGACCGGCCACAUUGGGCCGGAGAUACGGCCCAGACCCCUACGGGAGGCAGCAGUGGGGAAUAUUGCACAAUGGGCGGAAGCCAGAUGCAGCAACGCCGCGUGCGGGAUGAGGGCCUUCGGGUUGUAAACCGCUGUCGCCUGUGACGAGGCGUGAGUGACGGUAAUGGGUAAAGAAGCACCGGCUAACUACGUG
rnacentral:rRNA from 1 species